GCCUAAAUUUUCUUUCCCCUCCCAAAAUCCAUCAUAAUACUUCUCAUUUCUAAUCCCCCAGUUAAUUAAUAACACAAAUACACAGAUCUUUCUGCAUUAGUUGAAAACCCUAGCGCCUACCGCUACCAUCUUCACAUCAGCUCUAACCAUCUUCACCUUUUCCAACUACGUCACCGUCGGCUACCUCUUCGGAAUUAAGCCCAAGAUCAAAGGCUCAUCGAUGGUCACCGGAGGCUUGAUCGGAGUUAUGCGUACGAGAACUCUACUGGACAUUUGAUGGGAACUACAGUGAGUUAUGCGUACCUGAACUCCACUGGACGUUUGAUGGAGAAGUUCCACCUUUGAUUUUCAAGAACUUCUGGCAUGUCCGGUUUAUGCAGUCUGGUUUAUUCUCAGAUCAACUUGGUGUCCAUAGAGCGGAUGCGUAAAAGAACCACACUAAUGAAGUUUAUGAAGGAGAUAGCUUAUGAUGGAGUUGAAAUACUUGACAAUGAUAAUAAGUAGAGGAAUACUCGGCUGCGGAUAUGGAUGGCAUUCGCGAAGAUUGGUCGACUUAUGCGGUUACCUCUAUUUUUAAGUGACAUUUUAGGUGUUGAUAAUGUAUUGACAAACAAUUCUUUUUUUGUUAACGUUAAAAUAUUUGUAGUAUACUUGACAAAUGAUUAUGUAAUGGAUUGUUUUGGUAUAUA